ACCAUUUCGUAGAGUCUGUUUCAAAGGCAAGACAAGAAAACUGCAGAUGGGGGACAGAUAAGAACGACAGCCAAGAAAGCUAUAAUGAGGAUGAAGAAACAAACAAAAAAAAAUCUAUUAGAGCUAUUGCGGAAUGUUUGAGUAUCCCGAAGUCAACAGCAUGGACUGUCCCGAAGAAGAAACGGACUGCUGGAGGACUUAGGAAUCACCACAAUCAGGCUGUCUGCAGAAGACACCAGAAAGUGAUAACAGGGGUGAAAGUAUCGCAGGAUACUGUCUGCAGAAUACUGCGAGAGGGAAAUUGCAGAGGCUACACUUCCAGAUGUAAACUGCUCAUCAGUACCCAGGCAGAAAGGAGCUCCAGCUGGACAUGGACCUAGUGCCCACUCAGCUGAUGUGGUUUGAGCGUUGGCCACAAGAUGAGUCACACCACUGGGACCACCCACCUGAGGAAAACAGCUGGUCUACAGAUAUGCUAUAUAACAGCAUGCCUGGAUUUGCUGGCUACUGACCUUGGAGGACUGGGAAGUGAAUAAAUGUGGUGAUUAUUCAAAAUGAGUGCCUUGGAACUUGUUAACAGCAAUAAAUAUGUGUCUGCUUUGUGCCUCUGGGCUCUAUUUUCCACCCUGGAGCACAGCGUGUUGCGAGCUGUCUCACAGGCAAAGUGGUAUUUUCUUCAUGGAUUUUGCAGCGCCUUUGCUGCUUGGUCAUUUUGUGACUUGCUGUGCACUGAAGUGCUGCCGCUGCUGGGGAUGUGCAAUUUUGGUGCUGGUGAUUAAAAAAUUUUGGUCAGUCUGGUCUGCUAUUUGCGUCCUUCAGUGCCCGCCUGCUAAGACCUUGUCAAUGGCUUAAGUCACAGCCCAUUGUGCAGCGGAUUGCUAAUUUUGGAGAUUUCCCAUCCAAUGCAUGCAUGAUCAUAGCCUAUUCAAAAGCUAAUCAACGGUUUUUGUCAAUCUAGGAUGUCCAAUGUGACUUUGAUAUAAACCCAACAAGCAAGAAACAUGAAUACUUUGCAUUUAUUUCCUGUAUGUAUUUCUGUUUUUCAUUGUUUAUAGCUGUUCUUAGACUGCAUUGUGGUCCCUGAGGUACUGUAUUUCAUUCUUUUCCCCACAUUCAUCUGUACUGAGAGGAAUGAUGAGA